rfam:Glycine max cultivar Williams 82 chromosome 16, whole genome shotgun sequence.
UUACUAUUGGAUGAUGACUGUCACAUGUCACGUUCUGAUUAGAUAUAAACUCCAUAAAAAAAUGAAAUACAUUAUUGUUUUUGUUGACCAGUCAGAACAUGAUAUAUGACCGUUAUCAUCC